GGCCCGGCCCCUCUCCACCCGCCGCCUCACCCCUUGUGGCCGCCCGUGGCCUUCGCUUUGCGCCUCCGCGUGCCCUCGAGCCCCCGGCGGGCCGAGGCGGCCCUCGGGGAAUCCGGCCCCCGGUCAGUGCUCCCCUCGCGUCCGGCCCGCGAGGCUUCUCGGCCGGCCUGGGCCACCCCGCCGCCCCGCGAGCGGCGGCCUUCUCGUCCUGCACGCGCCGCCUGGGCCCGCCCGGGGAGGAGGGCCCCGUGGGGCCGGGGCGGGCGAGGAGGGAGGACGGAGAUGCGCUCCGGGCCCGGAGCGUGGUGGAGCGUGGUGGAGCGAGGGAGUGACAGGCCCGGUGGGCGCCCUGGGGGAAGAGGCCAGUCUGCUGCCCCCACCCUGAGCCCACUGAAGCUGGAAGACCGCCAGGCCUGGAGCGCUCUGAACAAUUUAGCUCCUUGGUGCAUGAGAAGCCCAACGGAGUAAUGGGUGCUGAUGAGUUUCGCACCCGGAGUCUGAAGAAAAUGAGUCAUUAAAGGCAUUCAGGGACUUUGCUGUGUAGCGAGAGACUAGUUCUCACUAAUGUUAAUGGCUGAGAUUUCAGCCCUUGGGAAGAAUCAAGGACCAAGUUCCUGGUUGCGAUUGGCGAGGGCAGAGAGGUCUUUAAAGAAGAGCAAGGUUUCCUGUCGGUGGGCACAGGAGAGGAAGAGGAGAAGAGAAAUUCACAUCUCGUCCGAAGUCUGUCGUGGGAAGGACUGUAGCAAGAUGGGUACCUAGACCCCUCAACUUAAUGUUCCACGUUGCUGGCUUUGUGGAAUCAGUACUGGAAUUAAUAUUAAUCAAUGGCAAGGGAGACCAGAACAGAGGAUGGUCCUGUGAUGGAUGGUCACAAGCUUCUCCCUGCUGUGAGUGAUGUUGACAGAGCAACUCAACAUGUCUGUCGAAUGGUAUUACCAUUUUAUUGACUUUUCAUGACAAUGGCGAUGAUAUUAAUGAAAGCAUAUAAAGGCCCACGAUGAACCAAAUAAUACUGAGUACUGUAAUGACAAAAGAAUAUGAAUGCAAUUCUUUGGGGACUUCAUCAUACCUAAGAAAAUGCAAUGGAUAUAUUACUUGGUUAUAAAACGAAUGCAAAUAAAACUAAAACAUGUUGUGAUGUGUCAGACUUUGCCGACCGAAACAUAGCUGUAAGUAUUGAAAAUCUUUAUUUAUAGUCUCCACUCAGGAUAACUCAGUUAUUUUUCCCCCCCAACUAGACAAUGUGA